ACUCCUACGGGAGGCAGCAGUAGGGAAUCUUCCACAAUGGGCGCAAGCCUGAUGGAGCAACACCGCGUGAGUGAAGAAGGGUUUCGGCUCGUAAAGCUCUGUUGUUAAAGAAGAACACGUAUGAGAGUAACUGUUCAUACGUUGACGGUAUUUAACCAGAAAGUCACGGCUAACCACGUGCCAGCAGCCGCGGUAAUACGUAGGUGGCAAGCGUUAUCCGGAUUUAUUGGGCGUAAAGAGAGUGCAGGCGGUUUUCUAAGUCUGAUGUGAAAGCCUUCGGCUUAACCGGAGAAGUGCAUCGGAAACUGGAUAACUUGAGUGCAGAAGAGGGUAGUGGAACUCCAUGUGUAGCGGUGGAAUGCGUAGAUAUAUGGAAGAACACCAGUGGCGAAGGCGGCUACCUGGUCUGCAACUGACGCUGAGACUCGAAAGCAUGGGUAGCGAACAGGAUUAGAUACCCUGGUAGGAUAGCG
rnacentral:rRNA from 1 species